CCGCUUGUCAGGAGUCGCCCCCCCGCCCCGCCCCCUGCAGUCUGUCUUCCCGUUGCUUCGGAUUUACUUCUCCGCACAUCCUGUCUUCCAGAAAGUGGUUGAUUUUCUGUUCCUAGAAUUGCUGCUCUUCUUCUCUUCUCUCUCCUGAUGGAUUUUCAGG